GCCAGUGUGGUAUAGUGGAUUGAGUGUUGGAUUAUGACUCUGGAGAUUGGGGUUCUAUUCCCCACUCAGACA